GCAGUGUAAGUGAGGAAGAGGGCAUAGGGUGGAGUAGUCGGAUGGAAUGCAUGGUUUGAAGAAUCCUAUUUAUCGGGCUGAAAAAUGGUUCCCAUUCCAUCCCAACUCGAAGCUGGGGCCCCUGAAAGGGUCUGACAGUCCUGGCUAACCCCUGGAAAGUUAGCCAAGUCUCCACCGGUGGUUGUUGCUGGCAAUGGAGGGGAUGGAGCUGAGCUCUCAGGAGAAACUGCAGAGGCUUUGCGGUGCCCCAAGGUACCAAGUGAGAACUAGAGAGGAGGGUCCAAGCCCACGGAGCUGGGCAAACAGUCCUGUACCCCAACGCUAACAAGAAGCCAAGGGUGCUGCUGCUGAUGGAAUCCUCGCCUGCCGAGGAAGGUCCCGGGAGCCCCCAUCACAACUCCAGAGCACCCUGUUGGGAGGGGGACGAACGCAUCCGAGUAAAGGACAGAGGGAGUCGGGAGUGCUGGCUGCGGGAAGAACCCAGGAGCCCUUGGCUUCUGCAGUUUUUAGCAGUGUGAAGCCGGCUGAGGGAGAAGGAUGCAUGCCGCGCUCAGUGAAGUUUCUGACAUCCAAAAGCGCAGGGAACUCAAUUUACAGGAUCUUGGGCCCACUGAAAAAACGAGAAGUCAAUCAGCGGCAGGUGGAGGCUCGUGUUUCAGCCCACAGGGACCUGCUGCCAGGAGCGGGGAGGCGCUGCCUCCCUGACAGCCCCCAGGCCACCUCAGUCUUUCCGAUCCUCAGUCUGUCCAUCUGUAAAGUAGGCAUGAGCAUUUCGACCGCUCACUCCACCCUCGCGAGGAUCUAGUGUUUUUCCAAAAGCAGAGGUUCUUCAGCCAGUU
rnacentral:lncRNA from 10 species